UAGGGAAUAUUGGACAAUGGGGGCAACCCUGAUCCAGCCAUGCCGCGUGAGUGAAGAAGGCCCUCGGGUUGUAAAGCUCUUUUGUCCGGAAAGAAAAGCUUCGGGUUAAUACCCCGGGGUUCUGACGGUACCGGAAGAAUAAGCACCGGCUAACUUCGUGCCAGCAGCCGCGGUAAUACGAAGGGGGCUAGCGUUGUUCGGAAUUACUGGGCGUAAAGCGUACGUAGGCGGAUGCGCAAGUUGGGGGUGAAAUCCCGGGGCUUAACCUCGGAAUUGCCCUCAAAACUGCACGUCUUGAGACCGAGAGAGGUAAGGGGAAUUCCUAGUGUAGAGGUGAAAUUCGUAGAUAUUAGGAAGAACACCAGUGGCGAAGGCGCCUUACUGGCUCGGUACUGACGCUGAGGUACGAAAGCGUGGGGAGCAAACA
rnacentral:rRNA from 1 species